GAACGCUGGCGGUAUGCUUUACACAUGCAAGUCGAACGGGCUUAGGAGCUUGCUCCUAAGUUAGUGGCGAACGGGUGAGUAAUAUAUCGGAACAUAUCCGGAAGUGGGGGAUAACGUAGCGAAAGUUACGCUAAUACCGCAUAUGCCCUGAGGGGGAAAGGGGGGGAUCGCAAGACCUCUCGCUUUCGGAGUGGCCGAUAUCGGAUUAGCUAGUAGGUGAGGUAAAGGCUCACCUAGGCGACGAUCCGUAGCUGGUCUGAGAGGACGACCAGCCACACUGGAACUGAGACACGGUCCAGACUCCUACGGGAGGCAGCAGUGGGGAAUUUUGGACAAUGGGCGAAAGCCUGAUCCAGCCAUGCCGCGUGAGUGAAGAAGGCCUUCGGGUUGUAAAGCUCUUUCGCAAGGGAAGAAGAUUUAGCUAUUAAUACUAGCUGAGGAUGACGGUACCUUGAUAAGAAGCACCGGCUAACUACGUGCCAGCAGCCGCGGUAAUACGUAGGGUGCGAGCGUUAAUCGGAAUUACUGGGCGUAAAGGGUGCGCAGGCGGUUUUGUAAGUCUGAUGUGAAAUCCCCGGGCUCAACCUGGGAACUGCGUUGGAAACUACAAGGCUAGAGUGUAGAAGAGGGGGGUAGAAUUCCACGUGUAGCAGUGAAAUGCGUAGAGAUGUGGAGGAAUACCGAUGGCGAAGGCAGCCCCCUGGGCUAACACUGACGCUCAUGCACGAAAGCGUGGGGAGCAAACAGGAUUAGAUACCCUGGUAGUCCACGCCCUAAACGAUGUCUACUAGUUGUUGGGAGAGUAAAAUCUCUUAGUAACGCAGCUAACGCGU
rnacentral:rRNA from 1 species